GAGACCGGAAGCUUGGGCUGCACGGAGCGGGCGGAGCCUGGGAAGGCCAGACUUCCUGGUCACGGUAAUGUCUCUUCCAACGUGGAGCCAGGACGCUCCGCCUUUGGGGAACGCUGGUGCAGGGCUUGGGACUCAGGGCAGUGCGGUCGAGCCCCUACCCACUCCGGAGAACCCCCGGCCCCGCCAGCGCGGCCGGGCUGCUGGCUCCCCUGGCGUCCGGUCGAGGCGCACACCCGCCUCGGUCCGACUGUGACCCCGGUGAGCUUCGGACCAUUCUGCCCCGCGACCUCAGCCUGAGAAGACCCGGGGCCCUGCCAGCUCCCGGGACUAUAACUUCAGUUGAGUCGCUACUUCCGCGGAUCCUGAGCUGGGGGAAAGUCGAGGGGUCCGGAAGGCUCAGGAGGGAUCGUGGACUUCAGGGUUCCCAGGCUGCUGGCGUGGAGCACCAACACCUUACAUGGAGGGGUUUCUGCUGCCAGAGCAGGCAAGGCCCUCCCCUCCCUAGUUUCUCACUGACCCCUUCUGGGUGUCCUCACGCAACUACACCAGCCACUGGUCUCCGCACUUUCCAGAGGGCCUGUGGGCAACUACGAAGCCGAACACUGCCAACCCAUCCACCCAGCAUCCCUGCAGCAUGCACAGAAAGGUUCACCCAGCAUGGUGUGCAAUAGGAAACUAAGCUCCUAUCUCAGCCUAUUUCUGGAUUGAUGCACGCUGUGCAAAAUGCCGUGGCAGCAGGAAGAGGGCUGCACAUAAGCAAGGGGUUCUGGAAAUUAAGACGUCUAGAGGAGAAAGCGUGAGACAUCCCGUGAUGGCAAUGCCACCGCCACCCCCUUGCCUAACCAAACCGUCCUCUGCUCCGGGCAAGUGGCCAUCUGGGAGCAUUAGCCAGGGAGGCACUCAUUGUGUCUUGCCAUCACGUCCACAGAGGGGGCCCCACACCUUGUCAUACUCAUUUGACAAACUCUCCAGAACUGCUGGUGCCAGCCCCCACAGGUCACCUUACAGGGCAACUCCAGACUCCACAAUGUGAGUCUAAUAUGUGUUCCAAGAAUCAAACAGGAUGAGCACCAAGACAUAAAGCUUAGAAAUAGCAAGACUGC
ensembl:lncRNA novel transcript